rnacentral:rRNA from 1 species
GACGAACGCUGGCGGCGUGCUUAACACAUGCAAGUCGAACGGAGUGGCGAACGGGUGAGUAACACGUGGGUGAUCUGCCUUGCACUUCGGGAUAAGCUUGGGAAACUGGGUCUAAUACCGGAUAGUGCAAGAUGAGCUCGCGGCCUAUCGGCUUGUUGGUGGGGUAAUGGCCGACCAAGGCGUCGACGGGUAGCCGGCCUGAGAGGGUGUACGGGCACAGUAGGACUAAGGUACGGCCCAGACUCCUACGGGAGGCAGCGGUGGGGAAUAUUGCACAAUGGGCGCGAGCCUGAUGCAGCGACGCCGCGUGGGUGAUGAAGGCCUUCGGGUUGUGAACUCGUUGCGACAGGGACGCGGUACCUGUAGAAGAAGCACCGGCUAACUACGUGCCAGCAGCCGCGGUAAUAC